rnacentral:rRNA from 1 species
GGUUGAUCCUGCCAGUAGUCAUAUGCUUGUCUCAAAGAUUAAGCCAUGCAUGUCUAAGUAUAAGCAAUUGCAUACAGUGAAACUGCGAAUGGCUCAUUAAAUCAGUUAUAGUUUAUUUGAUAAUACCUUACUACUUGGAUAACCGUGGUAAUUCUAGAGCUAAUACAUGCGUCAAAAUCCCGACUUCUGGAAGGGAUGUAUUUAUUAGAUAAAAAACCAAUGCCGGAAACGGCUUCUUUGGUGAUUCAUAAUAACUUUUCGAAUCGUAUGACCUUGUGUCGACGAUGGUUCAU